GUCGCGCUGGCGUAGUGGUAGCGCAUCUCACUCACACUGAGAAGGUCGUGAGAUCGAAACUCACGCGCGACA
rfam:Capsaspora owczarzaki ATCC 30864 unplaced genomic scaffold supercont2.5, whole genome shotgun sequence.